GUAUUAUGUAGCUUAACAACAAAGCAUAGUGCUGAAGCCACUAAAAUGAGCUCUCGCUCCAAAUACA
rnacentral:tRNA from 1 species